ensembl:lncRNA
ACUUUGCAAAACAGGUAUAGAUUCAUUCUGAGGGCAGAACAUAGCAAGGCCAUGAACCUUUUUUGGACAAGAAUACUUGCUGAAUAUGUGAACACCCUACGUCACUUGCUGCUAAAAAGCAUUUGAAGACAACCAGUCUCUUCACAGAGACAAGUCUCCCUUCACGUAGGAAAGGCUGCUUCCUGUGAAGGAGUGCUGUGUAGCCAUAGAGCUCCUUAACCAGUUUGCUGCAAAGUUCAAAUCUUUUGCUUCUGCCUUGCUACACAUUCCACUGGAGCCACAGAUAAGGUGCAAGAUGGGCACCUUAUCAGAUGUUCCCCCAGACAACACAGGAGAUGCAUCCAGCACAGCUGCUUCUUCCAUGUGGCAUUUCCUAUCCCCCUUACAUUUCAAAAAAACAGGAACAACUUCAACUGUCAGUGAAGUGCUUUCUGAAAAGGCACACUGUUUUGGAAAGAGCAAAGCCAUACUGCCACAUUAUAUAGUACAGGAGAUGAACCAAAGAUAUGCAUACACUACAAUUCACACCGAGAUAUACAUACAUACUAAAUAGAGAUAGAGUUUUUUAGAUUGUUUUCUUAAAGUGACUUCUAGCUUGAGGCAAGGCAAAAAUAAGAGAUACAUAAAAUGAAUAUAUAAUAUGCAGUUCAAGUUAAAAAAAAAAAAAGAAGAACAGCUCAGAUAAGGUCAAUUUGCAAUAGCUUAAUAGCUUUUGGAAUAAUAUUCCAUGAUGAUGAUGAAAGACAGAUGGAAUUUGUAACUGUGAUAAAUCUUUAAUAUUUAGAGAUGAGCAAGGACUAUAUGAAAAUCUUUCAAAAUGGAAAGACUCAUUGGUAUCUUUGUCAGCUGCUCACUUCUUAACUGUAUAUUGAUGAUCUUAAAGAUAAUUGCCAUAGUCUGUUUCAGGUUAUGAGUAAAUACAUGGAGAUUAUUCAGU